rnacentral:rRNA from 1 species
CGGGACGGGUGAGUAAUGUCUGGGAAACUGCCUGAUGGAGGGGGAUAACUACUGGAAACGGUAGCUAAUACCGCAUAAUGUCGCAAGACCAAAGAGGGGGACCUUCGGGCCUCUUGCCAUCGGAUGUGCCCAGAUGGGAUUAGCUAGUAGGUGGGGUAACGGCUCACCUAGGCGACGAUCCCUAGCUGGUCUGAGAGGAUGACCAGCCACACUGGAACUGAGACACGGUCCAG